CGGACCGACGGGAGCUUGCUCCCUUAGGUCAGCGGCGGACGGGUGAGUAACACGUGGGUAACCUGCCUGUAAGACUGGGAUAACUCCGGGAAACCGGGGCUAAUACCGGAUGCUUGAUUGAACCGCAUGGUUCAAUCAUAAAAGGUGGCUUUUAGCUACCACUUACAGAUGGACCCGCGGCGCAUUAGCUAGUUGGUGAGGUAACGGCUCACCAAGGCGACGAUGCGUAGCCGACCUGAGAGGGUGAUCGGCCACACUGGGACUGAGACACGGCCCAGACUCCUACGGGAGGCAGCAGUAGGGAAUCUUCCGCAAUGGACGAAAGUCUGACGGAGCAACGCCGCGUGAGUGAUGAAGGUUUUCGGAUCGUAAAACUCUGUUGUUAGGGAAGAACAAGUACCGUUCGAAUAGGGCGGCACCUUGACGGUACCUAACCAGAAAGCCACGGCUAACUACGUGCCAGCAGCCGCGGUAAUACGUAGGUGGCAAGCGUUGUCCGGAAUUAUUGGGCGUAAAGCGCGCGCAGGCGGUUUCUUAAGUCUGAUGUGAAAGCCCCCGGCUCAACCGGGGAGGGUCAUUGGAAACUGGGGAACUUGAGUGCAGAAGAGGAGAGUGGAAUUCCACGUGUAGCGGUGAAUGCGUAGAGAUGUGGAGGAACACCAGUGGCGAAGG
rnacentral:rRNA from 1 species